rnacentral:rRNA from 1 species
UUGAACGCUGGCGGCAGGCCUAACACAUGCAAGUCGAGCGGAUGAAGGGAGCUUGCUCCUGGAUUCAGCGGCGGACGGGUGAGUAAUGCCUAGGAAUCUGCCUGGUAGUGGGGGAUAACGUCCGGAAACGGGCGCUAAUACCGCAUACGUCCUGAGGGAGAAAGUGGGGGAUCUUCGGACCUCACGCUAUCAGAUGAGCCUAGGUCGGAUUAGCUAGUUGGUGGGGUAAAGGCCUACCAAGGCGACGAUCCGUAACUGGUCUGAGAGGAUGAUCAGUCACACUGGAACUGAGACACGGUCCAGACUCCUACGGGAGGCAGCAGUGGGGAAUAUUGGACAAUGGGCGAAAGCCUGAUCCAGCCAUGCCGCGUGUGUGAAGAAGGUCUUCGGAUUGUAAAGCACUUUAAGUUGGGAGGAAGGGCAGUAAGUUAAUACCUUGCUGUCUUGACGUUACCAACAGAAUAAGCACCGGCUAACUUCGUG